GAUGAACGCUAGCGGGAGGCCUAACACAUGCAAGUCGAGGGGUAACGCAAGUAGCUUGCUACUAGACGACGACCGGCGCACGGGUGAGUAACGCGUAUGUAAUCUGCCUUGUACAGAGGGAUAGCCCAGAGAAAUUUGGAUUAAUACCUCAUAGUAUUACCGAAUCGCAUGAUUUGGUAAUUAAAGCUCCGGCGGUACAAGAUGAACAUGCGUGACAUUAGCUAGUUGGUAAGGUAACGGCUUACCAAGGCUACGAUGUCUAGGGGUUCUGAGAGGAUGAUCCCCCACACUGGUACUGAGACACGGACCAGACUCCUACGGGAGGCAGCAGUGAGGAAUAUUGGUCAAUGGACGCAAGUCUGAACCAGCCAUCCCGCGUGAAGGAUGACUGCCCUAUGGGUUGUAAACUUCUUUUAUAUGCAAAUAAACCUACUUUCGUGAAAGUAGCUGAAGGUAGCAUAUGAAUAAACACCGGCUAACUCCGUGCCAGCAGCCGCGGUAAUACGGAGGGUGUAAGCGUUAUCCGGAUUUAUUGGG
rnacentral:rRNA from 1 species